GACGAACCUUGCGAACGUUAUUCGGAAUCACUGGGCUUAAAGGGCGCGUAGGCGGGCUCGCAGGUCAGGGGUGAAAGCCCACGGCUCAACCGUGGAAGUGCCUUUGAUACCGUGAGUCUCGAGGGAGGUAGGGGCGUGCGGAACUUCCGGUGGAGCGGUGAAAUGCGUAGAUAUCGGAAGGAACAUCGGUGGCGAAAGCGGCGCGCUGGACCUCUUCUGACGCUGAGGCGCGAAAGCCAGGGGAGCAAACGGG
rnacentral:rRNA from 1 species